rnacentral:rRNA from 1 species
GACGAACGCUGGCGGCGUGCUUAACACAUGCAAGUCGAACGGUGAAGCGCCUUCCUUUUUGGUGGGUGUGGAUGAGUGGCGAGCGGGUGAGUAACACGUGAGUAACCUGCCCCCUUCUUCUGGAUAACCGCAUGAAAGUGUGGCUAAUACGGGAUAUUCUGGGUCUGUCGCAUGAUGGGUCUGGGAAAGAUAUUGUUUCGGUGGGGGAUGGGCUCGCGGCCUAUCAGCUUGUUGGUGGGGUGAUGGCCUACCAAGGCGGUGACGGGUAGCCGGCCUGAGAGGGUGGACGGUCACACGGGGACUGAGACACGGCCCAGACUCCUACGGGAGGCAGCAGUGGGGAAUAUUGCACAAUGGGCGCAAGCCUGAUGCAGCGACGCCGCGUGAGGGAUGGAGGCCUUCGGGUUGUGAACCUCUUUCGCCAGUGAAGCAGGCCUGCCUCGUUUGUGGGUGGGUUGACGGUAGCUGGAUAAGAAGCGCCGGCUAACUACGUG